GGAUGGGAGGGCGAUCUGGCUGUGACAUCUGUCACCCCAUUGAUCGCCAGGGUUGAUUUGGCUGAUCUGGCUGGCCAGGCGGGUGUCCCCUUCCUCCCUCACCACUCCAUGUGCAUCCCUCCCGAAGCUGCGCGCUCGGUUGAAGAGGACGACCAUCCCCGAUAGAGGAGGACCAUUCUUUGGUCAAGUGUGUGUGAGUAGCUGCGCUCCCCUGCUAGAACCUCCAAACAAGCUCUCAAAAAGAAAAGUACUGCCUCCCCCCCAAAAAAGAGUUGCCAAUGUCUGUAAGUCAGUCUACUGAAAGACUGCAAGAUCUCUACGAAGAAAAGUACAAAACAUUAUAG
rnacentral:snRNA from 1 species